GAUGAAGAACGUAGCGAAAUGCGAUAAGUAAUGUGAAUUGCAGAAUUCAGUGAAUCAUCGAAUCUUUGAACGCACAUUGCGCCCCCUGGUUUUCCGGGGGGCAUGCCUGUCCGAGCGUCAUUACAACCCUCAAGCUCAGCUUGGUGUUGGGCCCCGCCGCCCCGGCGGGCCCUAAAGUCAGUGGCGGUGCCGUCCGGCUCCGAGCGUAGUAAUUCUUCUCGCUCUGGAGGUCCGGUCGUGUGCUCGCCAGCAACCCCCAAUUUUUUUCGGGUUGACCUCGGAUCAGGUAGGGAUACCCGCUGAACUUAAGCAUAUCAAUAAGCGGAGGA
rnacentral:misc_RNA from 1 species